rnacentral:lncRNA from 1 species
UUUCGACCUAUGUUCAUGGGGAGUUUUUUGUUCCUUGCUAUUGAAUAUGCAUAGUGUUGAAUUUAUGACCACGACUUGCGGGACACCCUGUAUAUAUACACUAUUUAUGUCUUUAUAUUUCUGAAAUGCAAUGAAAAUUAGAAAACUUUUGACUGAUUUCAUGUCAUAUCAUAAAUAAUUUUAUAAAAUUUCAAAACUUUGCAGUGUCUUUAUGCCCUUGGAGCCAAUGUAAACUGCACAGUUUAUCCCUAUGAAUGACUAACUCUUGUUGUUAGGAAUAAAUAUGAUGAAGUGCACAGUUGGCAUAAACGUACAAUGGGAAUAUGGCAUGACUGAGUUGACAGAUCGUAUGAUCUUGCGAAAAAUUUUCUGAUUUUUGAUUAACUCAUGCAUAAGCUGUGUGUAGUCCUCCUUCAAAAAUUUUUUUGAGAAAAAUCAUCAGCUUAUGCACAAGUAUAUAUGGUAAUUAAGAGAAGAGCUAAAGCAGUUUUUAUAUGAUAUUAUAUUGGGGAUAGCUUCAACUUUCAUUAAUAUAUUUUUAAAGAAUAUCAACAUCUUAUGGGAUCAUGCCAGAAAAAUGUAAAACAAAAUGUCUUAGAACAAAAUGUAUAUGGAGACUUUAUUAAUAAAAAGUUGUAUAUUUAUAAAGAGAUCUUCAAAGAGGAUAUCAUUAACAAAAAGAUGCAAACAACUUAUCUGCUGCUUGAGAAUCUAUAUAUAUAAAAUUGAAUGUAUGUCUGUAUGUCUGUAUGUCUGUUGUCUGUCUGUCUGUACUCGAUGGAUUCGGAAACCAUACAUCCGAUCGCCGUGAAAAUUUGGGUAAUUAUUAGGUAUAUCCC